rnacentral:rRNA from 1 species
CAAGUCGAACGGGCAUCUUCGUUUGUCUGUGGCCGACGGGUGAGGAACACGUGGGAACAUGCCCUUCGGUUCGGAAUAACUCAGGGAAACUUGAGCUAAUGCCGGAUACGCCCGAUAGGGGAAAGAUUUGUUGCCGAAGGAUUGGCCCGCGUCUGAUUAGCUAGUUGGUGAGGUAACGGCUCACCAAUGCGACGAUCGGUACCUGGCCUGAGAGGAUGAUCAGCCACGUUGGGACUGAGACACGGCCCACACUCCUACGGGAGGCAGCAGAGGGGAAUAUUGGACAAUGGGCGAAAGCCUGAUCCAGCCAUGCCGCGUGAGUGAUGAAGGCCUUAUGGUUGUAAAGCUCUUUUAUCCGGCAAGAUAAUGACUGUACCGGGAGAAUAAGCCCCGGCUAACUUCUAGCCUGCAGCCGCGGGAAUACGAAGGGGGCUAGCGUUGCUCGGAAUCGCUGGGCGUAAAGGGCGCGUAGGCGGAUGAUUAAGUCGGAGGUGAAAGCCCAGGGCUCAACCCUGGAAUUGCCUACGAUACUGAUCGUCUCGAGAAUGGAAGAUGUAAGUGGAAUACCGAGUGUAGAGGUGAAAUUCGUAGAUAUUCGAUGGACACACCAGUGGCUCAUGCGACUUACUGGUCCAUUUCUGACGCUGAGGCGCGAAAGCGUGGGGAUCAAACGGGAUUAGAUACCCUGGUAGUCCACGCCAUAAACGAUGAAUGCCAGCCGAUGGGGAGCUUGCUCUUCACUGGCGCAGCUAACGCUUUAAGCAUUCUGCCUGCGGAGUACUGUCGCAAGAUUAAAACUAACAUGAAUUGACGG